UGAAACUUUACGUAGUUUAUAAAUAUUCAUCUUUACCUAGUCUAUAUUUAUCCCAUAUUAUGUGAACAUGCUUAUAUUUCACUGCAGAAAGGAUACUGCCCAAACUCCUGGAGGUGCUACAUAGUAUUUGUACAUGUAUUAUUCUAACAUUCAAAAACAUCUGAACCCCGAAGAAUCUGUCCCCAAGGAUUUCAGAUAAGCUCUUCAGCCAAAGGCCACAGGAACGCACAGGUUGGGCUGGAUACCUGUCACAGGGGGGAAGAACGUGCAUGUGAGGGAACCAUGGAGUGUCUCAGUAAGAGGACGUCAGAGCUUGCUGUGAGCCCCUGAGACUCAGAGAGGUUGAUGACCUACCCAGGACCACACAGGUCACAAAGGCCAAGCCACGACUCAGAGUCUGCCUUCUGACUCCUACUCCCAGGCUCACUCCCUGCCUCUUCUGCUGCUCCAUGAGGAGGAGAGAAGGCCAGGGGUGAUGAGGCUUAGAGGGGACCCACUGGCAGAGAAGCUGCUGUCACCGCAGCUCUGACCCCUCCCUCCACGCCCAAUGAAGCCUCCAGAACUUGCCCAGCAGGACACUCCGGGGCUGCUGACAGCAGGGGCCAGCCUAGGCCUAGCGCCUGUUAGGAGGCCUGUUCCCAAAGGAGACUCCUAGAGAAGGGUUCCCACGGUGUGGAGCCUGUCAGGGUGCCAAGGGGAAACACACCAGCUUGUUUUAUCGACUUUCCAAGCAGUUGAGGCCUCCAGACCUGUGGUUAGAAGACAAUGAACAGAAGGCAGCGAAGAGGCUGAACUGGCAGCCUGCAUCAGUGGGGUCAGGCAGCCCCCCCAGGCAUCAUCUUCUCUGGGGCCUGGGCAGCCACAGUACAUGAUGUCUGCCUCCUGCGGUCUCCUGGAGUCAUGGGCAGGGCUCCAACGGCCAGGCAUGCCCAGCAGCCUGUCUGCAAACAGGCAGGGAGCACACUUGGUGCAGAAGGGACCCAUCUGGGCUAGAGCUCCAACAGGCCUCAAAGCCAUCCGUUGUCAGGCCAGACCACAGCUGUGUGGGGCUGUGCCUCAUGCAUAGACUUGCAGCCCUGUGUCUCCACAGCUGGGGCCAUCUGACUCUCACUCACAGGCCAGGCCCCACCUGCCCGGAGGAUUAAUCUAAACACACAGGAAGGAAGCACUGUUACCCUCGGCAGCAGGCCCCAGCCAGGGACCUGAUACCUUGCUCCUGCUUGUGACUGGCUCUAUUUUUCUCUGUGCCUUCAUAACUUGCUGACCCUUCUAGGAAACCCUGAUUCAACUAGUCUUGCUCUUUCCAGACCCCUCUUCCAUUCAUUUGA